rnacentral:rRNA from 1 species
AACGAACGCUGGCGGCAGGCUUAACACAUGCAAGUCGAACGCACCUUUCGGGGUGAGUGGCAGACGGGUGAGUAACGCGUGGGAAUCUACCCUUCUCUACGGGAUAGCUCCGGGAAACUGGAAUUAAUGCCGUAUACGUCCUGAGGGAGAAAGAUUUAUCGGGGAAGGAUGAGCCCGCGUUGGAUUAGCUAGUUGGUGGGGUAAAGGCCUACCAAGGCGACGAUCCAUAGCUGGUCUAAGAGGAUGAUCAGCCACAUUGGGACUGAGACACGGCCCAAACUCCUACGGGAGGCAGCAGUGGGGAAUAUUGGACAAUGGGCGCAAGCCUGAUCCAGCCAUGCCGCGUGAGUGAUGAAGGCCCUAGGGUUGUAAAGCUCUUUCAGUGGGGACGAUAAUGACGGUACCCACAGAAGAAGCCCCGGCUAACUUCGUG